GGAUGGCUGAGGGGGCGUGUCGGAGGGGCACCCGCUUUACUCUACUGGGCAGACUCUGGCUCCAAAUGACAUCACACAAGCAAGAUGGCAGCUCCCGGAAAGGAGGAAGCUUUUUCUUCCUGGACUCGACGCUCUGCAAACAAUGUUAACAGUUUGAAGUGGACCAUGACCCCAGGUGUACCAGAGGCCCAGCUCCUAAUGGCCUGGUCCUGCAGACUGAGGAGAACCAAACUCUUGGCUUUCCUUCAGGACCAAUAAGGAAGGAAAUGGUUGCACUUGUGCCUGUGGGCAGUUUCAGCAGCAGCAUUGGAAACUCUAACCUUAAUCCUAACCCACUUGGGGCUUAGACAGCCAAGCCGAUGUUAGGCACAGCAAGCGCCAGGACCAUGGAUAUACAGUAUACUCAUGGUCAGUGCUCAGCCUCGGGGGUCACAAAUAGCAUAUUAGUCACAAGCGCCUUAUCUUACCUCUUUUGGGGUAAAUGACUAUCAUUCAAGGCCUCCUUGGCCAGACGAUAGAUACAGGCAACAUCUUAGGGAAAAAGUGCAGAACUGCCAGUAGAAAAGUGCAUUUUUUCAUUUUAAACAAAAAGGGCAUCCCACCAAGACUCCAUGCUGAUGAUAGGAAUUCCCUCUGUCUAUGGUACUAUCAUUUAACUAUGAUAAUAAACAGCAUAUAGCCAUAAGUGGCUAAAGAGUUCCUUAAUGGACUGAGACACAAUACCAUAUGGUCAAAGUCAUUUCCUCAACACUGGAAACAAUGCUGACAUGAACAAAAUAGGAUCUGCUGUGCUUUUGAAAACAAAUUUAUCAGAUGAACCCUGAAGAACACACAGGACCAUCCAAGCUUUAAUAUUGACAUUUUUUGGGGCACCUUCCUUGUUUCCAGAAAUUCAAAACUUUUUGCCAACAUGACAAUAGCUAAAUACAAAAUAAAAUGAGGCCACAAUUCAAGCAUUGUUUCUCUGAAAUGCACAUAUUUCUAGAAGAAAAAAAAAAAAGUUACAGCUGCAAAACGUAUGGCAAAACGCAAUACGGCAUUGUGCGGUUAAGCAUGUUAUCUUUGGGACAAUUUAAAUGAGGUUGGCCAGGAAUAAAUUGUCAUGCCAACAAACACAAUACCUUAGCCCCAAACAAAUAUAUUGGACAAAGCUUCAUUGCAGUAGAGUGGAAUGAAAAGUCUCACCUCUCAUGCAUUAAAUCUCAUAUUCUUGAAGGGAUUGAUGCUUCUAACAAUAGUUCACUAAGCCCAGCUUGUGGGGCCCUUUUGCCAUAAUUGCUUGUAGCAGCAUAAUUUUGCUACAAUAACAGCUUGCUAUUGUGGAGAGGAGAAUUAGAAAAAUGUCAAAAUAAAAAAUUUACUCUGCCUGGCAGUCAAAGGGGUAAAUACAAACAGAAAGCUUUGGACUUACAGCAGUGUUUCCUCUUUGUCAGAGCAUUGACAGUUUUUAAAGAGGCAUACCCCAGCAUGAGCUUAUGAUAGGUCACCUUCAAACAUUUACUGCAACACUCAUGAUCGAUAACAUCAGUGAAAUCUGUGCUUUACUUCUGACUUGCUGUAAAACUUGAACUGAGUACCAGACAGUUUAUGACAAAUGAUGACGUUCACAUUUUCCUUUUACUUGAGGGUUUUCAGUUUUAACUCCUAUAUUCAGAGCAAACUAUAUCUAAAAUAGAAUCCGCCUCAAUUAGAACAUAACAAGCAAUUAAAAGUAAAAGGUACAACAAUCAGAGACGCAGUGCCCUGAAAAUAUUCCUGUGAGAGAAGGUCACAAAAAAAGAAAAACAACCAAAGGGCACAGUAUAUAACUUUUUUUGUUGUUGUUGUUUUGCUGAGUGCAUAUUAUAACAGUAGAGAAGGGAGAUUUGUGAGAGAGGAUAUAAUUUAGUGUUGUUUAUGAGUGAAACUAUGCAGUGAGUGUACUUCCUCCGCUGGUAAGCCAGUGAGUAGAGGGGUUCAGUCUGAACAGAGCAAUACUCAUGAUGGUGAAGGAUGGUGAAAGGAACAGAGGCUGGACCACGUCAUGGUGAGGACACCCUUAGCGGCUUUGUGUGACAGUCAAGGUUUUGAAUUUGUGGACGGAUAGCAAGAGUGGAGAUAUACUCAGUAAUUUGGGAAGGCUGAAGACAUAUAGAGGCCAAAGAGAGUAUCUCUGGAAGCUGAUUAGGAGAAAGCUGCUGAAGUCCAGACAGGUUGAUGAUAAAAGUGCAAGCAGGAAAGCAAAGUCGCUGCUGAGAAACAGUCUGCUCCGACACAUUUUGGAAGGUGGAAAACCUCUGGAUAUUUGGUGUUAUUUUGGUUUUAUAAAAAUGUAAAAGUGUGACAUAAAAGUGUGACUUUUGGGACCACAACUUGAUAAUUAACUUUCUACUCUGAACAUUCACAUUUGUAAAAUUCUCACAGAACAUGAGACAAAGUGAUACACGGCGCUGUGAGCAAGUUCUGUGCCAAAUUACAGUGAAUAGAAAAACGAUUUGAGUGACAAAAUCUAAACUCUUAUGUGCAAACAUAAAGCAGAUAAAAAAUACAAAUUCAAAUAUUUUUUUUGUUAUAUAUGUAUUCUAAUAGCAAGGAUUACUGACUCACCAAGGUAAUUCUUCAACAACUAAUAAUGAUCUGUCUUCCUUUUCAUUUUUAAUUUAUACUGUAUUCUUUUUUGUCUAAUGGUUAUAGAUUAAAAAAAAACAAAAACAAAGUUGGAAGCCAAAUGAGUAACAAACAAAAUACCAAAAGUAAUAUGCUUUUCCACACUCUGUAUAGCAAAUAUUUUAAAAAAAGAAGAGAGGUCCAAAGCACUCUUCUGGCAAAAAAGUUUAAAAACCUUUAUUCAGAUGGUUAUUUUAUGAUUUCAUGGUGAAAUUCUUAAAAACAUAGACAAUACUUGCAUGUUAAAAUAGAGCUGAGUUACAACCCACGCGUAGCGGCACACACACCCUGAAGAUGGCUGUUUGUGCUGCUAUGCGGGGGUUGUAAACCAGUUCUAUUUUAACAUGCAAGUAUUGUCUAUGUUUUUAACUUUUGUGUUCCCUACCAAAGAGCACAUUCAUCACACUUGUUUGUACCUUUUCUUUCUGUAGCAAAUAUUUAAAUUGAUUUUGCUCUGUUACAGUAUCUAUAUGUAAACCUAUGAAAGGCCUAGAUUUGUAAAACAUGCAUUGCUGCCUCUUAUACAACAAAAAUCCAGUGUUUUCAUUGGACCAUAUGCCUCACACUCUUUCCUAAUAUGGUGGCAUACAUGUAUUUUAAGAGUUAUUAAUAUGUAGCGUAUAUUAUGUUUGUAAUAAACCCAACAGAAAUGCAUUAAUGUGAUACUCCCUUACCCGCAAGAAAACCACUAUGCAUCAUUCAUCAGACUUGAUAUCUAAAUUGAAAUAGAUAAAUCAACAUCUAACAUGAGAGAGAAAAAAGUGAAAAAGUGACGCUGGUGUCAUAGAGCAAUGGCGUAGAAAAAGGAACCAGGAGACUGAGGACUGCAUGAAAAGUGUGUAUCUGUAACGAUGCUAACAGUUGUAAUGAAUAAAUAACUAAAAGUUGAUGUAUUAUGUAUGAAGCAAUUUCUGCAGCUGGAGUGAAAACAGUUUUAAAAUGGGCAAGAAUGGUUUUACUUUCAACAUUUCUGUGGUGGAAUAUGAAACAAGGGACAGACAUUAAGGGAGGUGCCAUUAAUUAUCUGCGGCAGUUAGAUAUAAUACUUUAUGUCUCUAAUCACAUCAUGUGAGAAUAACUUGUGACAAAUUCAUCAGAACAUCAGUUUAAAUUGAUAAUUAUUGAGCUAUUUUAUGUGUUAUCAAACAAAAUAAUGUGCAUUGUUUCACACAGAGGCAGUUGAUGUGGCAGUUCAUUUUGUGGCAGCAGACCACACUUCACUUAAAUACUGCACACAAUGUCUAUCUUCCCAUUAUAUGCACAUCAUGAAGAUUGAGUGUGGCUCUGAUGUCGUCAUGUAGCCAUGGUUACCAAAUACACUGGCCUACACAUCAACACCUCCUCUAAAAAGAGAGAUGCCCAAGGAAGCUGGAUGUGAACUAUUCUCUCCAUGCUCUUCUUUCCUCUUCCCCAGUGUUAUAUAUAUAUACAGUGUAUAUGUAUGCGUUAACAUCAAAUCUGCAGUGUCUCAUAGCUGCAAAGGUCUCUUACUUAACAAGCAGUGGGCAGAGAGGAGAGACAAAUAAAUAUUGAAGUGGUGGGUCAGAGUCAGAUAACCAGUGUCAGUCAGUGAUGGUUCGGCUCUCUGUAGAGUUUGCUUCUUAAAUCCAAAAGAAAACACACAGUUUGGUCUUUUAAGAAAAACUGAAGCUUCCUAUAGUGAAUGUGAUACAAAAAUGUAUAUUUUCUAUACAAAGUCUAGGAACAACCAGACAAUAAAAGAGGAUCUUUUGCUUUCCAUCAAUGAUGAGAGCAAAUGUAUGAGUCAAGCACUGUGAAAAUUGUCACCGUGUUAUAACUUACUUGUCAGCAAGCUGCUUGAGGUUUAUCACAAACACAUAUGAGAUGCCACUGCUGCAACUUAUUCAUGGGAUUUCUACAAGUCAUUUGUAAUGGCUGAUUUAUUGUAGAAGGUCUGCAGAGUUCAAUAAUACUGUUUACACUGUUGAAUCUUGAUCUAAAUCUACUUUAAACUUGAUUUUAGGUAACUUAGCGUCAGGCGUUGUACCCAUUCAGCUAUUUCCAUUCAAUAUACAAUUGUAAGAGUAUUGACUACUUUUAUAUUCAAUUUUGCACUUGCUAAGAAAUUUGGGGCACCAUCUCCAUUAGGAUGAAAAUAAAUAUUGUUAAAUUAAUCAGUCUCACAACCAGGCUUAGGAAUUCUUUCCGAUACAAGGACCUCUGUCUUCUGCUCCAAAGAACAAACUAGACAACUUCUGCUGAUAAAUGAGGACAUUAAUUUAUUCAUUUAUUAAAUAUUUAUGUUUAUAUUUGUAGAUUUGUCCUUAGGUGUCCUUACUGUACGCAUCAUCGUUUCAUAUAUGAUACACUUAAAUAACCACUGCUUCACUCUAGGAGACUUUUUCAUUGGUUGCUCUUUGUUUUGCCUUUAGCUACUUUAACUAUCCUUUAUACCUAAAACAUCUUUUAGUUCCAUUCAGAUCAUCAUAUCCAUUCAGACACACUCAACAACCUUUUUAUUGUGCCUAGAAUCUUUAAAGAGACUGGGAGAUGUGCUUUUAAGUUUAAAGCACCGUCAGACUUGUUUAGAUCGAUUACUUCUUUCCAUGACUUCAAGACUUCUUUGCUUGUUUACCUCAAAUGUACUUGUUCUUGUUUUUGAUUGUAUUUACCUUCAUUUUUAGUUUCUAAGUAGACUCAGUACUUUGACAUAACGUUAUUUGGUCUGUUCAGUGUUUUUCUUCUAAUUCAUUCUUUGUACAGAUGACACUUGUAACAAAUGUAGUGGGUGUGGUCAGGGAUGGUGUGAGAGCCCUUAUGUGUAUGUAUAUAGCUUCAUUUAUACUCCAGAGUUGACGUGUCUGUUUAUACUACCCUCUGGAGUUCACUUGGAGGACGGGUUCCACACAUGCGCAGUAGAUCGGCGUUUACAGGAAGACAGCAUUGUGACCGUGCAGACCAGCGUGGUAACAACAAAUUGGAGGUUUGCGGAUGUCCACACCGAGUGUACGCGUACACCCUCUGUUGACGAAAUUUACCGAAAUCUUCUCGUGGGCCCUUGCAGACUCGCAGACGCGAAAAGUAUAAUUACAGCUUAUGUCCUUGAUGAUGUUACUAUGUUGAUUGUUUUGUGUCACUGGGUUGUUUAAUUUAUUCUCAUUACUACUUAUGUAUUUUGUUUUGUUUAAAUUUUGUUAACUUUGCCUGAGGACCUCCUCACGAGACAGUGCAUCUCAAGGGGUUUAUCCUUUAAUUAACUUUUGAAAUAAAAUAGCGAAAUGCCUACCAAUAACUGAAUAAAUGAAGCAUUAAUAAUGAGUACAUAAUGUAAGAAAAGAAUUAGACAAAUUAAUUGAAAACCUUUAAAUGGUGAGAUAAACCUUAACUAAGUGGGCAAUAAUGAAGUGGAGUAUGUGACUCAGAGUUAUCAUAAAGUGGUGGGACACUAGUAAACAUACUCAGCUUCUCUAAGAUGGAAUAAUCUCUAUUUAACAUCAACUCUUAAUCACAGAAAGUGGUGGAUUCUGCCUACUUGUUGAAGAAGU